UACGAAGGGUGCAAGCGUUACUCGGAAUUACUGGGCGUAAAGGCGUGCGUAGGUGGUGAGUUAAGUCUGUCGUGAAAGCCCCGGGCUCAACCUGGGAAUGGCGAUGGAUACUGGCUCGCUAGAGUGCGGUAGAGGAGUGUGGAAUUCCCGGUGUAGCGGUGAAAUGCGCAGAUAUCGGGAGGAACACCCGUAGCGAAGGCGGCACUCUGGGCCGGAACUGACGCUGAGGAGCGAAAGCGUGGGGAGCAAACAGG
rnacentral:rRNA from 1 species